GCCUCAGUAGCUCAGUUGGGAAAGCGUUAGACCGAAGGUCUAGGGGUCACCAGUUCGACUCUGGUUCGCGGCA